rnacentral:rRNA from 1 species
CUUUAGUUUGAAACCCCGAAACCAGGUGAGCUACCCCGAGACAGCCUAUAUAAAUUAGGGCUAACCCGUCUCUGUGGCAAAAGAGUGGGAAGAGCUCCGGGUAGAAGUGACAGACCUACCGAACCUGGUGAUAGCUGGUUGCCUGAGAAGUGGAUAGAAGUUCAGCCCCGUAUGCCCCAAACCAAGACCCAUCCUUUAAGGUAACUUGAGGGAAACGUACGAGAGUUAGUUGGAGGGGGUACAGCCCCUCUAACAAAGGACACAACCUUAACAGGAGAAUAAAGAUCAAAAUAACUAAAACAAACUAUUUUAGUGGGCCUAAAAGCAGCCAUCUGAACAGAAAGCGUUAAAGCUCAGACAGAGUGAAGUUUAUUAUACCGAUAAAAAAUCUUAUUUCCCUAAAAUGUAUCAGGCUAUUCCAUGCCUACAUGGAAGAAAUUAUGCUAGAAUGAGUAACAAGAAGACCUGUUCUUCUCCCAGCACAAGUGUAAACCAGAUCGGACAAGCCGCUGGAAAAUAACGAACCCAACCCAAGAGAGUAUUGUGAAUAUCACAAAAACCAAGAAAGACCCACAACCAAUCAUCGUUAACCCUACACUGGAGUGCUAUUUAUAAAGGAAAGACUAAAAGAAAGGGAAGGAACUCGGCAAACGCAAGCCUCGCCUGUUUACCAAAAACAUCGCCUCCUGCAACUAAAUUAAGUAUAGGAGGUCCAGCCUGCCCAGUGACUACGGGUUCAACGGCCGCGGUAUUUUGACCGUGCAAAGGUAGCGCAAUCACUUGUCUUUUAAAUAGAGACCUGUAUGAAUGGCUAAACGAGGGCUUAACUGUCUCCCCCUUCCAGUCAGUGAAAUUGAUCUAUCCGUGCAGAAGCGGGUAUAAUGAUACAAGACGAGAAGACCCUUUGGAGCUUAAGGUACAAAACUUAUUCACGUCAAACAACUUCAUAAAGAGCAAAAACCUAGUGGAACAUAAGAUUUUACCUUCGGUUGGGGCGACCGCGGAGGAAAAACCAGCCUCCGAGUGGAACGGGGUAAACCCCUAAAACCAAGAGAGACAUCUCUAAGCCACAGAACAUCUGACCAAUAAUGAUCCGACUUGCAAGUCGAUCAACGAACCAAGUUACCCUAGGGAUAACAGCGCAAUCCUCUCCCAGAGUCCAUAUCGACGAGGGGGUUUACGACCUCGAUGUUGGAUCAGGACAUCCUAAUGGUGCAGCCG